GUACACUCCUGCGGGAGGCAGCAGUGGGGAAUUUUGGACAAUGGGCGAAAGCCUGAUCCAGCAAUGCCGCGUGCAGGAUGAAGGCCUUCGGGUUGUAAACUGCUUUUGUACGGAACGAAAAAGCUCCUUCUAAUACAGGGGGCCCAUGACGGUACCGUAAGAAUAAGCACCGGCUAACUACGUGCCAGCAGCCGCGGUAAUACGUAGGGUGCGAGCGUUAAUCGGAAUUACUGGGCGUAAAGCGUGCGCAGGCGGUUAUGUAAGACAGAUGUGAAAUCCCCGGGCUCAACCUGGGAACUGCAUUUGUGACUGCAUGGCUAGAGUACGGUAGAGGGGGAUGGAAUUCCGCGUGUAGCAGUGAAAUGCGUAGAUAUGCGGAGGAACACCGAUGGCGAAGGCAAUCCCCUGGACCUGUACUGACGCUCAUGCACGAAAGCGUGGGGAGCAAACAGGAUUAGAUACCCCAGUAGUCCCAUGAU
rnacentral:rRNA from 1 species